rnacentral:rRNA from 1 species
UACGGAGGGUGCGAGCGUUGUCCGGAAUCACUGGGCGUAAAGGGCGCGUAGGUGGCGCGGGCAGUCAACGGUGAAAGUUCGGGGCUCAACCCUGAAUCGGCCGUCGAUACUCCCGGGCUUGAGCACUGUAGAGGCAGAUGGAAUUCCGGGUGUAGCGGUGGAAUGCGUAGAGAUCCGGAAGAACACCGGUGGCGAAGGCGGCUCACUGGCCCGUAACUGACGCUCAUGCACGACAGCGUGGGGAUCAAACAGG